rnacentral:lncRNA from 1 species
UAAAUAAAUAUGCUUUUACCAUCAUAUAUAACCCUCAUUAUUCGGUGUAAUUAAGCAAGUAAUCUAUUACUCUAUAUGAAUUCUCAAUAAUUUUGCUACGUGGCAAGUUUUUCUCAACCCUCACUAAUCUUUUUUCUGAAUUCAUUUUUACUUUUGGCUUUUCCACUCCCCUCCUCUCUAUUCAAUGAUAUGUAAUCAAUGUGUUUUUUAAUUUAUACGUUUCCUCUUCAAAAUUAUUUUUUUUGAAUUGAUUUUUAUUCUUGGCUUUUCUUCUUCCCUCCUCUCUAUUCAAUGAUAUGUAAUCAAUGUGUUUUUUAAUUUAUACGUUUCCUCUUCAAAAUUAUUUUUUUUGAAUUGAUUUUUAUUCUUGGCUUUUCUUCUUCCCUCCUCUCUAUUCAAUGAUAUGUAAUCAAUAUGCAUUUUAAUUUAUGCGUUUCCUCUUCAAAAUUAGUCAUUUCUUCUCCCACAAAUAAUUUCUUACAUACAAAAUUAAAAAAAUGAGAAGAUGAAUAAUUACUACUUU